AUUUCUUGUGAGAUUUCAUGCCAAAAAUGUGAUUCUAGGGACUUUCUAAUUUUGAGAUGAAUUUCCAUACGAAUUUUUUCACCAUUUUUCUCAUGUCUUGCAUUUUUCCCCACUUUUCCAUAACUUCUAUAUGGAAGUUUCAAGUGGUUACUUGGGAGUUAUAAAUUUGAAUUCUAAAUUCAAACCAUUCCCUUCAACCCUUAUAAGAUCCUGCGGGUCGGGUCACCCCACAUGGGUGACCCAUUAUCCUUAUUUUCUAACAUAAAUAGUCUAAAAAACCACCUCAUUUCUUUUCUAUAUUGAAAUAUCUAAUAUUGCAAAAACAAAAAAAAAGUAAAAAAUCCUAAAACUGUUUGCAUAGCAUCAAGGUAUCAAAACAUAAUUUGUUGCAUAUAUUUACUAUUCCAGAAACAACAAAUUUUAGCCUUUGUUUGAUACCCAUUUUUCUCUUUUCUUUUCAUCAAUCCAUUCUUCAAUAAAAUAAUAUUAUAUGAAAAAUUAAAAUAUCUUCUUAUUUCUUAACCACACAUUCUUCAUCAAUUAACAAUUUCAAAAUGCAUUCAUAUUAAAAAAUGGGAAACAAACAAGGGCCUAAAACUGUUUUGUAGUUCAAUAUCAAAAGAAUGAAAAUAUAUUAGUAUUCCUUCAAAGUAACACUUGUCUACUGGAUUUAUCCUUUAGGCUAAUUAUCGCUACAUGCAUAGAGUUCUUAUUUCCAGCUUUUGGCGUUAGAAUAACUGGAAAUGAAUUAUCUUGCCGCCAUGGAAGAAAGGAAAAGCCGCCGAAAAAGCUAUGAGCAAUGAGAUGUUGAGGGUGGUAAAAAAAAAAAAAAUUAUGUUUUAUAAUUGUGGUGUAACAAUAAUUUAUAAAUUAAAAAGUAUAUUAAAAUCCUAAUUAUGUAAUUUUACUUAAGGAUAUUUAAAUAAAUAAGAAAACUAUGGUGAUCUUAAUAAAAAUUUUAAUGGUAAUACACCCAUGUUGUUUAUUGCCUUUUGGGAUUAUUUAUUACUUUCUUUUGUCUUUCUAAAUUUAUUUAAGAGGGUGUUUGAGUCCUAUUUUUAUGAAAAAAUAUAUUUUAAAAAAGUAAGUUUAUGAGAAUUGUGUGGUUGAAAAACAAGGAAUUUUUUUAUUUACGUGUAAUAUUGUUUUAAUGAAAAAUGUGUGAUUGAAAAGAAGAGAGAGAAAAAUGUAUUUUGAGAAAAUGGAAAUAAAAAAGAGCCUAAGUUAGAGUGUUUUUGUAACAUUAAUAGAAAAUUUGGAAGGAAGUCAUCAAUAAGGACCAUAUGGUGCGAAUAAAAAUCAAAAUCGAGGUUAACCGAACUGAAUAGGAUGAAAAAAAUUGAACCAAUGGCACAAUGAGGUGAAUAUGGUAUUUGAUGUUAAUGCCCUGGUUCGCUCUGGCCUGAACCGAUUACCUGUUAAAAAAAAUUAAUUAGGCAAUUGGACUUUUUAUUAAUCUUUCUAUGAUUAUGUCCAACCCAAAAUUUUGGCCCAUUACCAAUCUGCUAAGUCCAACUAACCUAGCCUAACAACCCUAUACCAUACUAUACAAAAUAUUAAACAUAUAUGAAAAUUUUUGUUAAAUUCAAAUGUUGUAUUUGAGAAUUGGGAUAUUGUUAGUUAAAUUGGCUUAAUAUUGUGUUUUUGUUUUCAUUGAUUUUCUUUUUCAUAAAUUGUUUUUUUUUUUUCAAUUUGACGAAUGGACAUAUAAAAAAAAAAAAAAUUUAUUUUCGUUGUUAUUAACUGCCAAAAUUGAGCCGAAUUGAAAUACGAAUCAAGUCGAACUGAACUAAUUUACGCGGUUAUGGUAUGACAAAAAAUUGGUGGUUUGGUGAUGAUUUUGGCCGAAUCGACCCCAACCCUAGAUAUUUACCAGUUAAAAUUUAACGAAAAUGAUUUUCCGACAAAUUGAAAAGCUUGACAAAUCGUAGUGUAAUUUAAGUGUCUGUUCGGUAGUGAUUAUUAGAAUCGAUUUUUUAACUGUUAGAGAGAAAGUGAGUUCCACACGUGAGUAAAGAAGUAAAAAAUGAUAACUGGAAUUGUGAAAUAAUGAUAAAAAAAUUUGAUUUUUUAAGGUGAAAAAUUGCUAUCAAACGGAGGCUAAAUACUAAAAUGACAAAUCCAUUUUGAAUUAAUGUUACUAAUUUAUCAAAUGUAUGCUUUUAAGAAGUCAAAAGUAGC
rnacentral:lncRNA from 1 species